UCGGCGUCUCUGGCUGGCCGGUGUCUCCCCAGAUCUUCCGCAGCAGCCUGGUAAAGAGCAGAGCCGAAGCCCAUCCCAGACCAGCCGGGACGCCCCUGCCGAGGUCUCCGGGGCAUCAAGCAGGGACAUGCUGCGCCAGCGCUCCCUGCUGCUCACCCUGCUGGGUCUGCUCUCCCUCGGGUCUGCCCUUUCCCAGGAAUGCAUCGGAUACAAGGUCAGCACCUGCCGGGACUGCAUCAAGUCAGGGCCUGGCUGCACCUGGUGUCAGAAGCUG